UCCAUGGAUAAAUACUUAAAAUAGUGUUCAAAACCAAGACGGAAGUCACGGAAUCAUUUUUUUUUUUUUAAAUAUUCAGUCUUUUAUCAAAUAAAAACUUUGAUAAAAAUGCACAUCUGGUGGGUAUAUUGAUUUAAAUUUGCUUAUAUAAAUAACAAAAUCCAAGACCUGGCUGUACCUCACUCUCAAACUUAUUCUCCGUCCGUAGAAUAUUCUUCAUCUCUUCUAAACCAGAACGUUGGGAAUUGUUGUUGUGAUGGGAAUAUAUGAUGAAGAUCUAGAGAGACAUGAGGCAGAACAGAUGGAAUCAGAGAAAAGAGUGAAGACGUUUAUAGCUUGUUUGUGGUCAUUGGUGGUAAGCUUGACAGGAGGAUUGAUGUUAGGGUAUUGGGUAUAUAAAUACCAUCCAACAAAUACUCAGCUAUGGAUGGUGCCCUUUGGUCUACUUCUCUUCGCUACUCCGGCCUUUAUUUGGUUUGCUGUUAUCUUUUCUGAGAUCUGCAACUGCAACUCUAAGAGCGGUCACGUCGUUCCUGCAUCAAGUUCGUUAGGUGACUCAGUUCAUGACCCCAAGAGAUCAUGAGUUACCGUGUAAAAUUAUCAUUGCUUCUGUAAACCUUCUUGUAAAAUCCCCCUGCUACAAUUUCCGGUCAUUCUCUGGCUUUAAUUUGAGAUGUACUUGAUUGAUUACCAAAUUAAAAUGAUUGGAAUGGAUAAUAUACAUAUAUAUAUAUAUAUAUUAUGGAUAAAAAGUUUUGAUUA